rnacentral:rRNA from 1 species
CUGGCUCAGAUUGAACGCUGGCGGCAUGCUUUACACAUGCAAGUCGAACGGCAGCGGGUCCUUCGGGAUGCCGGCGAGUGGCGAACGGGUGAGUAAUGCAUCGGAACGUACCUGGUCGUGGGGAUAACACAGCGAAAGUUGUGCUAAUACCGCAUGAGACCUGAGGGUGAAAGCGGGGGCUCGCAAGACCUCGCGCGACUGGAGCGGCCGAUGUCAGAUUAGCUAGUUGGUAAGGUAAAGGCCUACCAAGGCGACGAUCUGUAGCGGGUCUGAGAGGAUGAUCCGCCACACUGGGACUGAGACACGGCCCAGACUCCUACGGGAGGCAGCAGUGGGGAAUUUUGGACAAUGGGCGCAAGCCUGAUCCAGCCAUGCCGCGUGAGUGAAGAAGGCCUUCGGGUUGUAAAGCUCUUUCAGCCGGGAAGAAAUCGCACGGGCCAAUACCCUGUGCGGAUGACGGUACCGGAACAAGAAGCACCGGCUAACUACGUGCCAGCAGCCGCGGUAAUACGUAGGGUGCGAGCGUUAAUCGGAAUUACUGGGCGUAAAGCGUGCGCAGGCGGAUGCUUAAGUCAGAUGUGAAAUCCCCGAGCUUAACUUGGGAAUUGCAUUUGAAACUGGGUAUCUAGAGUGCGUCAAAGGGGGGUGGAAUUCCACGU